UCACCGGCUUUAUUAAAAGCUAUAUAUCUAAACCAAGGUAAGUUUU
rfam:Aedes aegypti strain Liverpool supercont1.38 genomic scaffold, whole genome shotgun sequence.